rnacentral:rRNA from 1 species
GGUAGCCUACGGGACGCAGCAGUGGGGGAUAUUGCACAAUGGAGGAAACUCUGAUGCAGCGACGCCGCGUGAGGGAAGACGGUCUUCGGAUUGUAAAACUCUGUCUUUGGGGAAGAAAAUGACGGUACCCAAAGAGGAAGCUCCGGCUAACUACGUGCCAGCAGCCGCGGGAAUACGUAGGGAGCGAGCGUUGUCCGGAAUUACUGGGUGUAAAGGGAGCGUAGGCGGGCGAGAAAGUUGAAUGUUAAAUCUAUCGGCUUAACUGGUAGCUGCGUGCAAAACUUCUUGUCUUGAGUGAAGUAGAG